UACGAAGGAGCUAGCGUUGUUCGGAAUCACUGGGCGUAAAGCGCACGUAGGCGGACUUGUCAGUCAGGGUGAAAUCCCGGGGCUCAACCUGCGGAACUGCCUCUGAUACAGCAAGUCUCGAGUCCGGAAGAGGUGGGUGGAAUUCCUAGUGUAGAGGUGGAAAUUCGUAGAUAUUAGGAAAGAACACCGGUGGCGAAGGCGGCCCAACUGGUCCGGUACUGACGCUGAGGUGCGAAAGCGUGGGGAGCAAACAGGAUU
rnacentral:rRNA from 1 species